rnacentral:rRNA from 1 species
AGGAUCAACGCUGGCGGCGUGCCUAACGCAUGUAAGUCGAACGCAGAGCCUUCGGGCUCUGAGUGGCGAACGGCUGAGGAACACGUACGAACCUGCCCGCUUGUGGGGAAUAACGCACCGAAAGGUGUGCUAAUACCGCGUGCGCUCACAUGGCAACAUGUGAGGAAAGUCGCAAGACGCUGGCGGAGGGGCGUGCCGGCCCAUCAGGUUUGUUGGUGGGGUAAUGGCCUACCAAGCCGACGACGGGUAGCUGGUCUGUGAGGACGAUCAGCCAGACUGGGACUGCGAAACGGCCCAGACACCGUACGGGUGCAGCAGCGAGGAAUCUUCCACAAGUGGGACGAAAGCCCGAAUGGAGCAACGCCGCGUGGAGGACGACGGCCUUCGGGUUAGUAACUCCGUUUCGAGAGGGAUAGAAACGGACACGUACCCUACGAAGAACGAACG